GUGAGUCAUCGAAUCUUUGAACGCACAUUGCGCCCGCCAGUACUCUGGCGGGCAUGCCUGUUCGAGCGUCAUUUCAACCCUCAAGCCCCCGGGCUUGGUGUUGGAGAUCGGCAACUGCCCCUCGUGGGUGCGCCGUCUCCCAAAUCUAGUGGCGGUCUCGCUGUAGCUUCCUCUGCGUAGUAAUUCACCUCGCUCUGGAACGCGGCGCGGCCAAGCCGUUAAACCCCCCACUUCUGAAGGUUGACCUCGGAUCAGGUAGGACUACCCGCUGAACUUAAGCAUAUCAAUAAGCGGAGGA
rnacentral:misc_RNA from 1 species